rnacentral:rRNA from 1 species
AGUGAACGCUGGCGGUAGGCCUAACACAUGCAAGUCGAACGGCAGCACAGGAGAGCUUGCUCUCUGGGUGGCGAGUGGCGGACGGGUGAGGAAUACAUCGGAAUCUACCCUGUCGUGGGGGGAAAGGUAGGGAAACUUACGCUAAUACCGCAUAAGACAUACGGGUGAAAGCAGGGGAUCUUCGGACCUUGCGCGAUUGAAUGAGCAGAUGUCGGAGUAGCUAGUUGGGGGGGUAAAGGCCCACCAAGGCGACGAUCCGUGGAUGGUCUGAGAGGAUGAUCAGCCACACUGGAACUGAGACACGGUCCAGACUCCUACGGGAGGCAGCAGUGGGGAAUAUUGGACAAUGGGCGCAAGCCUGAUCCAGCCAUACCGCGUGGGUGAAGAAGGCCUUCGGGUUGUAAAGCCCUUUUGUUGGGAAAGAAAUCCAGCUGGCUAAUACCCGGUUGGGAUGACGGUACCCAAAGAAUAAGCACCGGCUAACUUCGUGCCAGCAGCCGCCGUAA